rnacentral:rRNA from 1 species
UACGUAGGUGACAAGCGUUGUCCGGAUUUACUGGGCGUAAAGAGCGCGCAGGCGGUCGUUCAAGUCGAGUGUGAAAGCCCCCGGCUCAACUGGGGAGGGUCAUUCGAUACUGAUCGACUCGAAGGCAGGAGAGGGAAGUGGAAUUCCCGGUGUAGUGGUGAAAUGCGUAGAUAUCGGGAGGAACACCAGUGGCGAAGGCGGCUCACUGGACUGGUAUUGACGCUGAGGUGCGAAAGCGUGGGGAGCAAACAGG